rnacentral:rRNA from 1 species
GGGGGGCGGUGGCGGCGUGGCUUGGGGAGGCAGGUGGAGCGGGAGCACGGGUGCUGGCGCCGGGUGGCGGGUGGCGGACGGGGGGGUCCUACCUCGGCACCUGUCCUGUAGUGGGGGGUCGCCCGGCGAGAGCCGGAUUAAUACCGCAUGCGAUCCCCGGAUGUAAGAGGGGGACCUUCGGGCCUCUCGCGUGAGGGUUUGCCGAUGGCUUUUUAGCUAGUUGGUGGGGGAAAGGCCUACGACGGCCACGGUACGUAGCUGUCCUGAGAGUACGACACGCCACCCUGGGACUGAACCGCGGCCCAGCCUCCUACGGGAGGCAGCAGUGGGGAAUUUUGGACAAUGGGCGAAAGCCUGAUCCAGCAAUGCCGCGUGUGUGAAGAAGGCCUUCGGGUUGUAAAGCACGUUUGUCCGGAAAGAAAACCUUGACUCUAAUACAGUCGGGGGAUGACGGUACCGGAAGUAUAAGCACCGGCUAACUACGUG